CAAUUAUACAGCGAAACUGCGAAUGGCUCAUUAAAUCAGUUAUCGUUUAUUUGAUAGUACCUUACUACUUGGAUAACCGUGGUAAUUCUAGAGCUAAUACAUGCUAAAAACCCCGACUCACGAAGGGGUGUAUUUAUUAGAUUAAAAACCAAUGCCCUUCGGGGCUCUUUGGUGAUUCAUAAUAACUUUUCGAAUCGCAUGGCCUUGCGCCGGCGAUGGUUCAUUCAAAUUUCUGCCCUAUCAACUUUCGAUGGCAGGGUCUUGGCCUGCCAUGGUUACAACGGGUAACGGAGGGUUAGGGCUCGACCCCGGAGAAGGAGCCUGAGAAACGGCUACUACAUCCAAGGAAGGCAGCAGGCGCGCAAAUUACCCAAUCCCGAUUCGGGGAGGUAGUGACAAUAAAUACUGAUACAGGGCUCUUUUGGGUCUUGUAAUUGGAAUGAGUACAAUUUAAAUCCCUUAACGAGGAACAAUUGGAGGGCAAGUCUGGUGCCAGCAGCCGCGGUAAUUCCAGCUCCAAUAGCGUAUAUUAAAGUUGUUGCAGUUAAAAAGCUCGUAGUUGAACCUUGGGCCUGGCUGGCCGGUCCGCCUCACCGCGUGCACUGGUUCGGCCGGGCCUUUCCCUCUGGGGAACCUCAUGGUCUUCACUGAUCGUGAUGGGGAACCAGGACUUUUACUGUGAAAAAAUUAGAGUGUUCAAAGCAGGCCUAUGCUCGAAUACAUUAGCAUGGAAUAAUAAAAUAGGACGUGUGGUUCUAUUUUGUUGGUUUCUAGGACCGCCGUAAUGAUUAAUAGGGACAGUCGGGGGCAUCAGUAUUCAAUUGUCAGAGGUGAAAUUCUUGGAUUUAUUGAAGACUAACUACUGCGAAAGCAUUUGCCAAGGAUGUUUUCAUUAAUCAGGAACGAAAGUUAGGGGAUCGAAGACGAUCAGAUACCGUCGUAGUCUUAACCAUAAACUAUGCCGACUAGGGAUCGGACGGUGUUACUUAUUGACCCGUUCGGCACCUUACGAGAAAUC
rnacentral:rRNA from 1 species